UGCAGUCGAACGGUAACAUUUCUAGCUUGCUAGAAGAUGACGAGUGGCGGACGGGUGAGUAAUGCUUGGGAACUUGCCUUUGCGAGGGGGAUAACAGUUGGAAACGACUGCUAAUACCGCAUAAUGUCUUCGGACCAAACGGGGCUUCGGCUCCGGCGCAAAGAGAGGCCCAAGUGAGAUUAGCUAGUUGGUAAGGUAACGGCUUACCAAGGCGACGAUCUCUAGCUGUUCUGAGAGGAAGAUCAGCCACACUGGGACUGAGACACGGCCCAGACUCCUACGGGAGGCAGCAGUGGGGAAUAUUGCACAAUGGGGGAAACCCUGAUGCAGCCAUGCCGCGUGUGUGAAGAAGGCCUUCGGGUUGUAAAGCACUUUCAGUUGUGAGGAAAAGUUAGUAGUUAAUACCUGCUAGCCGUGACGUUAACAACAGAAGAAGCACCGGCUAACUCCGUGCCAGCAGCCGCGGUAAUACGGAGGGUGCGAGCGUUAAUCGGAAUUACUGGGCGUAAAGCGCACGCAGGCGGUUUGUUAAGCUAGAUGUGAAAGCCCCGGGCUCAACCUGGGAUGGUCAUUUAGAACUGGCAGACUAGAGUCUUGGAGAGGGGAGUGGAAUUCCAGGUGUAGCGGUGAAAUGCGUAGAUAUCUGGAGGAACAUCAGUGGCGAAGGCGACUCCCUGGCCAAAGACUGACGCUCAUGUGCGAAAGUGUGGGUAGCGAACAGGAUUAGAUACCCUGGUAGUCCACACCGUAAACGCUGUCUACUAGCUGUGUGUGUCUUUAAGACGUGCGUAGCGAAGCUAACGCGCUAAGUAGACCGCCUGGGGAGUACGGCCGCAAGGUUAAAACUCAAAUGAAUUGACGGGGGCCCGCACAAGCGGUGGAGCAUG
rnacentral:rRNA from 1 species